UCUCUCGCUGUCAGUGGAACAGAGCUGCUAAAAAUAGUUAAUUUCCCCAAGGACACCACCUUGCAUCAUGUUUUUCUAGCACUGAAUAAUUUUAGAGGGGACAAACACAGUCUGCCAGUGCCAUGAUGCAGCGUCUUCCAUGGAUGCAGCGAAGGAUGGCCUGUGCCGCUUCUUGUAGGCUCCGUGUAGACUCAGUGCUUCCACACAAAGGCGAGGGGAGAAGUGAGGAGUAGGACUGACCACUGUUCUGUGCAUCUUGAAUCUGGUUACAAGGUUUUCCUGCAUCUGCUUUCUAUAGUCGGCUUUGCUUUUUGGAUGUUAAAAACCAGAUGUGGCAGAGGCAGUGGUGAGCUUCCACCAUCUGUAUCCUGGAUCACAGCUGUACUGGUAGCCUCCCUGGUGAUGUGAGUAGCAGACAAUUCAUCCUUGUUCCACAUCUAGUAUCCUGCUAUGAAUACAACAACUGAAGUACACCUGGAGCUGAUUGAGAUGGUGGAUUCUGGACUCUGAAGUGGUGAAAGAAAGAGAUGAGCUUUGGAAUCCUUGGGAACAAAUGAGUGUGUGCAGGAGCUGGUAUACUCCCAUACAGAAUAAAGGCCCAAGACUUAAUGAAGGCAAGGGGGAAGUAGAAGCUGUGAAUGCCAUCGAUCACACGGGAGGUGGAGAGGGACUGAGAGCUGUAUGGAAGUUGGGAAUGAUCUGAGAGCUCUUCCAGCCACAGGGCAGUGCAGUUUGACUCACUCUCACUCUGCUGAUAGCACUGGCCAUGGCGGUCUUUUCCACAGAGGAGACUGGAGAGCGGAAUGCAGAACAAGUUUCCUUCAUUGCUCCGAUGGGGAGGAGAGCCGCAAGAGAUGCAAAGCCUCCGAAAACAGGCGGAUGCUAAAUAUAACAUAGAAAUCAAAAUGGCCACGAGGGCCUGGGCUUGCCGCGAGAAGAAGCCUGGGGCCGGAGGAGUGGAAGGGGCCGGAGGCGUGGA